UAGUGAGUUGGCGCUGCUCGGGCAUGCGCCGACCUACUUCGUUUGCCUCAGGAUCGAGGCGGCGAAGUUCCACCAGAAAAAGGAA
rfam:Pseudomonas aeruginosa PAO1, complete genome.